AGAGCAAAUGAUUAGAACUUGUUGGAACAUUUUUGACAAAAUUAUUUUGGUUGAAAUAUGCUAUUUCAUCAUAGCUGAAAGAUUUUGUGGAUACCUAUCUAUUUUGACAACGUUUUUGAUAGGAAGGCUCUGAAGUCCACAACUCUUUGGUCAUUUUUGAGCAGUGAUAGAGAGAUGAAUUGAAAACCUGACUUAUUCAAUUUGGAAAUGAACAUUUCAACACAAUUCAAUUUAGUGAAAAUGUUGGACAGGUUUUGGUGUUUUGUUUUUUUUCCCCUAAUGUGGAAUGAAAACAAAUUCGGGAACCUCAAAAGUUGACAUGAAAUGGAACUAUUGUCCUAUGGACAGAGCAACAAAUUAUACCACUACCUAUUUAAGGCCCCUUGACAUGACUAGAGUGGUGUAAAUGAGAAUCAAACCCUAAAUGUACAGCACCCAGCACAAUGGGGCCCGAUCCUAACUGAGGCCUUUACAUGCUACCAUAAUAUAAAUAUUUGCUACUCUUUACAGCUAUACCUAGUGCUUUGUGUACCAAGUAGUGUGUAAGGGAGUCUAGCUGAGGUGCUAGUAUAGAGCACGCUGGGAAUCAAAGCAAAAUGAAGAGAACUGCAAUGAAUAGUGCCUGCCUCAUUCUUUGCAUGAUGAUUUGACGUAUCAGCAGUUGCUGCACACUGUAACCCAAAGGCGAACAGCAGAUACUAGGUGCUGUAUUUUUUUCCAUCUCUUAACUUUUGCGUGUAGGAAUUUAUUGCUUGUGUAUUUAGUCUCCUUUUUAGGAGGAAAAAAGAUACCAAAGGCAUCUUCCUAUAAGUGCAAUAUUGACCACCCCUCUGAAGAGGGGAGAGACCAAAAAGGAACCAGGGUCAGCCAAUUAUGGGAGAAAAAUGUUAAACAUGGGGCAAAAUAAUGAGGGAUUGAAUAAGGAUUUUAGUCAUGUGGCUGGAGAGGAAAGGUUGGCUCUUAGAGAUGUUGUGUAGGAAAAAGCAGGAAGAUUUAGACACAGACUGAAAGUGCAGCACCAAAGAGAGUGCUGAGUAAUUGUUGAUGCCCUAUAACAGGCCCGAGGGAACAGGUGUCCCCACACUGCUCUGCACAUGUGACUCAACAUCUAAGAGGUUUCUACUGAGCCUGAAGAUUAGGUCCAAUUGUGGUAGUUUUUGAGAUGUGGAUAGCUGUUCACUGGGAAGCACUCUGAGACCAACACAAUUCAUUUUACACAUCCAAGGGACAACGGAGGGUCACUUUUAGUCACUACUAACUACUAAGUUAGAUUUGAACUGUGUUCUAGAGAUGAAAAGCUCUAUCCCUCUUUACAAAUGAGCUGAGCCAUCCAGUCUCCCUUUUAUUUGGAUUUUUCAUUUGCUUAGAAUUGAAGCAUAUGCUCUUGUCUGAAUGCCAGUCCAUCUCUAAUGCUAAAAUGUUCGUUAGCUUUAACUAACUUAUAGCCUUAUUUUCAGUGAGAUGGAUGUGACAACCUAAGCAUAUGCAAUGCUUUUAUGCAAAAGGAUGCCAAUGGAUUAUCUGGAUGUAUUUUUAUGCGAGAGCCACAGGGACAGAGUUACUAGAUUUGAAGAAGUGAGGAAUGCUUAGUAGUUUUAAGAUGCUCCACCACUCUGCUUCAUCUAGUGAAAUCCACCACCUCCUGAGCUGCUUCUCACCACUUUCAAAGCGUUAUAUAACUCUGUCCCUCCCUGGUCAUCAUCCCUUGUCAAUGUUCACAGCGUUUCUCCUGCCAAUGUUCCCAGACUUGCCAUCCCAUGUGUCAGUUUCCUGUAUGGUUACCUCUAUCCAUGGUAUGAUCUCCCUCACCUCAUUUGCAAGGCCCCUACCCUGUCUACAUUUGACUUCAUCUUAAAGAUCCACUUCUGCCAUGCUGCUUAACAGUGAAUUGAGUUGACUUGCAUGUAGAUAUAUAGCCUGCAGAUGUACCCUUUCCUCUGGCCCUCUAACUCCUUGUCUUUUCCUUAGACUAUGAGCUCCUAGGAUCAGGGACUGUCCCUUCUUGUACGUCUGAAAGGUACUUAGCAUGUCAUGGGCACGAACAUCAGCAAUUAUAACAACAUUAUAAAAUUAACAUAAGGGAUGGUAAAAUAAAUAACAAUAAAAAUACAACAUGAAUAAAGUUGUAAGAAAUGGUAUAAAAGAAACCUUAGUUAAGCACCUGCUUAACUAGAUACCCAGACCACCUUUCUAAGGGUUCUUUUAAUUUCAAUUGCUCCAUUAAAGAAAAGGACUCAAGAGUUUAAUUUAGUUUUAUAGAGUGCUAUGAGAUAUUCUUAACAACAGUAACUAAUAGUAUAGGAUAUAAGACAACAAAUCGUAUUUGGCUAACAAACCAGAAAGUUGGGCAAUGUAACCACUCAGGUUUGUCAGAAUCAAAUUACAGAACCACAAUAGAAAAUAACAUGUACAUAAUCACUAUCUUGGGAAGAUAACUUUGUUUAGAUUUUUGACAAAGAAUCUCUCAAAACAGGGCCUCGCUUUUGUCAGUUUAUCAGUUUUGGUGUUGCUAAGUCUACAGAGGAAAAAAACAAAGCUAAAGCAAAAGACAAUUUGGUCAAUUACUUACAUGCCAAUUCACCAAGGCCUCCUUCCCAAUGGAUCUAUAUAGUCUACCCUUUUAAACUACUUCCCCACAAAUUAUAUUUGCCCCAGGACCUGACUAUCACUCCUAACUAUCUAACAAACUCCUACAUUUAUGACAGACUGUGUAGAUGUUCAGGAGGCAUGUAGAGUUGGUCUGUUUUAUGUCUACAUGCACAGAAAACUUGAAAGGCAGUAUGAAAGCAUUAACUAUGGUAGACAUAUGUACAAUAUUCUGCAAUCUUAGUUAACAACAGUAACUUGCUUAGUUUCAAAACUACUACAAUCUUGAUUGGAACCUGUUACAAAACAAGGGGACACUCUGUAACUCUGUGACGAUGUUUAAAGUGCAUACACAACCAUAUACAUUUCCUUACUAAGUGGGUACCCAGUUUCGGGGAGUGGUCAACUGACUGACUUAGGUAGUCACUCAAGACAAAGUCUCUGUGUUACUCAUCAUCAGAUCUUUGCUCAGCCAUUAGCUUUAAGCUCCAGUUACUGUUCACAGCAGGAACUGACACAGAAAAACAGGUGAACGACUGACACGACUAUAGUAUUUUCCAAGUGUGCUAGCAGGCAAUCUGAAUUGCUGGAAAAUAGAAAGACGCAAUUAGAGGUAUCUGAGAUAGGUACUUGUUGUCACCUGGAAAACUCCCAGGUAGCUGACCCAGGACGUCCGUCUUCUCCCUUCCAGGUGUCUUCAGCUUUCAGGAAGCAGUGUGCUGAAGGAGAAAGGGCCUUUUAUCCCAUUUCUGCUGGGUGAUCCAACUUGUUUCCUCUUUUUGGAGAUGCUGGUGUGGACAGUCAGAAGGUGAUCCAUUCUUCUUCCAAAGAUUUAAAAUGUCCAAUCAAAAUGAGAGUUGUUCUUGCUCACCAUCCAUUCAGGCAAUGAGACAUCACCUUUGAGUUCUUGCAACUGGGACUAGAAUUUUCUAGUUUCUUUGUGCAACGCAUCUUGUCACACCAGCUUGUGUAAGACAUGUUAAGCUACAGCCAUCUGGGGGCAUACAUUGAAUACUGAUUGAUUUGUUCUGGUCAGUGACUGACUUCUGCAAGUCACUUUCUGUAGCCUCCUCUCUGGUGCAUUCCUUGGUCAAUUUUUCAGUUAUGCGUGCUCAAGUUGCAGUUUCUCCAUCAACGCUCUGCUAGUUACUGAAAUGUCCAGUUUAAAUAAUUUACAUAAAAUCUUUCCAUAUUAUUUGAUGCUCUUUAAACUUGUUUUAACAGUUCAUUAUAAAAUGCAAAGUCACUUCAAAGACUGUUGUUUUCCAGCCGGCUGGAACAGCUGUAUACAUCUUCCAUACUUGUUCUCCUUGUUUUAACAACAAGGGUGGGAUCUUGGUACAUAUGGCUGAACUGAGUCUGUUCAUUGUUAAUCAAACAGUUAUAUUUUUGAUUAUUCUACUCUGUGAUCAAGUGUCCUUAUAAACACCCUAUUUAGUUUCAGUUCCUUUUUAUUUACUGCCUCUUUCAGCACGGGUGUAUUUCAUUAACUUGAUAACAUAAGAAUGUUUGAAUGAAAGUAUUAGCCUUAGUUCUUCACUUUAUUACUUAAACUACAAAAAAUCUAUAUAAAUACAACCACUUCUUCCCUAACAGGAUUGCCUAUGAGGUCGUAAAUCCUGCCAUUAAAGUUUACAGCAUUUUGCCCAAAGCUGUAUCACUUAUAGUUGACUUCUCUUUUAUACAGAUAAACUUCAUUUAAUCACAAUAUUAGAUUCUAUCAAGUUCCCUAUUUUUCAUUACUUUAUCUGGCACGUCAUAUAAUACCUUGACAUUUGAUAUAAACAAAAUUUCAUUCAUUCAUUCACAGACAGGAAAAAAAAUGGGAAAUCUCUCUAGCUGCCUGAGCAGUACACUCUUGCAAAAGACUGCAGCAACUCAGACAGUCUGAAGAAAUCUUGCCAUUAGACUGGGAUCUUUUUUUCUCUCAUUCCUCUGGCCUACAUUUUCUAAACAGCCUUGAUGCUUGGGCAAUUCUUAAGUAGUAAUAACUCAUAACUGUGGGUCCUUAGUUAUGACAGACAGACAGAAAUAAUUAAUUUAAAAGAGCUCUAAAAGGAUAAGAGACAGUAUAGCUGAUGAGUUCUAAUAAGCAUAUCUAUUGUUGCAAAAUGUGUUAAAAAUCUAUGCAUCCCACUAGGUCUUUCUCACAUAGUGCAUUUGUUAAUCUAAUGCAAGCCAUGAAUCAUUCAAUUACUCUUAGCUUUGUCAACCAUAUUUUCAGAAUUUGGAAUUUGUUUUUGCAACCAUAGUAAUGAAGUACAUUUACUGGAUGACCAACAUAUUGCAUAAACUUCCUGAAGACAUAAAGGUCCUGUUUUUAAUACCACUUGCAAAAGGUUAUACUACGAGGGCCUGAUUUACCACUGUCUUGCUGCACUGUUAUGCUGGUGCAACUCCACAGCUCUGGGUGGAGUUACACUGGCAUAAAAACUGGAGUAAGGGCUUGUCUACAUGUGAAAGUCAAUCCAGAACAAAGUAAGGCUACAUCUACACUACAGGGGGGAGUCGAUUUAAGAUACGCAAAUUCAGCUACGUGAAUAGCGUAGCUGAAUUCGACGUAUCGCAGCCGACUUACCCUGCUGUGAGGACGGUGGCAAAAUCGACCUCUGCGGCUUCCCAUCGACGGCGCUUAUUCCCACCUCCGCUGGUGGAGUAAGAGCGUCGAUUCGGAGAUCGAUUGUCGCGUCCCAACGGGACGCAAUAAAUCGAUCCCCGAGAGGUCGAUUUCUACCCGCCGAUUCAGGCGGGUAGUGUAGACCCAGCCUAAGGUGUGAAUUUAAAGUGGAUUAACUAUUCCUCAUUGACUCCAUGUAUUAACUCCAUGUAUGGACUCUCUUGUUCUGAAUUAGCUUAAUCCAAUUCCAAGGUGAUAGUGAAUCAGGCUCUAAAGAUCGAAUUCUUCAAACACUUUGCACUGGAUGCACUGCUUGAGUAAUAUGAUUAGUUUCAUUGAACCAAAUGGAACAUUGAUGCCAAUGGGACUACUCACUCACUAGUAUGCAUCAUGGCUCCAAGUUAACAGAAGUCUUAAACAUGUCCUUAACUUUAAGCAUGUGCUUAAGUCCCUGUGACUUAAGCAUUCUUUUAAGAGCUUUGCUGGAUAUGGAUGGACUUAAGCACAUGCUUAAGGACUUUGCUGACUCUGGCCCUGUGCCCAGUAAUAAGUGUUGCAGGACUAGACUAUACAAGCCUGAUUCACCAUUGCCAUAUACCUUGUAAAGUUAUUUUCACUAGUUUGAAGUGAGUGCACGGUGGGUUCUGAUUUGGGACUCCUCACAAAGUAAAGUACUACUCAGUCUAAGUAAAAGUGGCAGAAGCUGCUCCUGUGGUAUUUACCAGGAGAUGUGCAGAUAUUUAAUUUUAUUAAACACGUUUUGUAGGGGGAAAAUGAUGGUUCUUUUAGCCUAAAUAGGUUUUGUGUGUGGGUAUGAAAACACACACACACACACAUAUAGAGUCUGUUUCUAGUGACUGUUUUUCAAUGAAAUAUCUGUUUUCACUUUCUCUCUUUUCUGUAAUGAAAGUAGCCUAUACGGCAAACAGAACAAAGCCAGUAAGAUGUACUUUGGGAAAGUGAUUAUACUUUUUAAUGGUCAAAUAGCCAAGCUAUAUAUCAAGUUACAAGUAAAAGGGGCCUUGAUCCUGCUUCAGUAAAUCAGAAAUUAUUUUUGGUCAGUUGAGUAGCUGUAAUCUAUUCUCUACUAACAUUAAGUAGACAUCCUGGUGAGGGACUGAACAAGGGGAAAGGGCUCAGGUGAAAAUCAGAGGCAUAUCUUUUACUUGUCAGGAGAAUCCUCCCACCUCCAACCAACCAAUACUUAAACAAAAUAAAUCAGGACACAAGCCAAGCUCCUUACAAGCAAAUAAUGAGAUUCACAUGUCGUUUUUAGCUGUGCUUGGUCCUGAGACCAAAACAAAUGGUUAGACGCAAAGUAUAGUUCUCUCUAGUCUCACACAAAUAUAUCUUUGACUGUGAUGUCUAGGCUGUAAAACCCUGAUCCAUUUUUUACCUGGCUUCUUUCACUUGCUUUUACUCCUUUCUCCUUAAUUUGGCAGUUUGAUGCUUUAAGCUAAUAAUGGUCACCUGUGCAACUCUUUCUCAUUGUACUCUGGCUGACUUAUAAUAAUAAUUACAUACACAGAAUUAAAUUAAUACACAUUAAAAGAAAGUUAUCUAGGUCACAAUGUCAAGCACUUGAAAAUUAGAAAAUGCUAUUGACAAUUGCCCAUGCAACCUUAAUUGUGCCUUGUGCAUCCAUCCUGUGCACUGAAUGAGACAGGGGCCCUGUGGGGAAAAAUAGUAUAUGAUUGUGUAAUUAAAGGCUAUUGCAUAAUGCAUAUGUAAAAUGGGGCAAAAAUAACAUUGCCUGGGCAACCAUAAAUAUAACUGUGAUGUUGCACCCCAUAAAACAUUAUGGGAAUAUGCUUAUGAAUGUAUAUAUGACAUAACUGGAAUAUGUUUUAUGCUACAUAUGCCAUGUAACAUAUCUCUGUAAAGGUUAUGAUCUACUGAAUAUAUUCAUCCUAUUUGUAUGCAUGUAUCAUUUUUGUAUUCAAAGUUAUGAAUAUUGGCUAUGUACUUGUUUAAUUUUAAGUAGCCUCAGUAAAGCAGUUGGGCAGCUUCCUGAGAAAAGACUAUUCUCAGUAAGUGCCCAAUCAAGAAACACUUAAGCCAACGAUUAACUUGGAGACGCCAGUCCACAUCUGAGCUGUCCCAGGAGUGUGGCCUGGCUUGUAAGGAGCUCAGUCAUGCCUGGACAUGUGACUUGCCCAUGUGACUCCAAAACUCCAUCUUGGAGCUAAAUUCUGGAUAGGAGAGAGGAGGGGGUGUACACCCACAAGAGAAAGUCUAAGCCCCUGGGAGACCUUUCCAUUUUGUCUUCAGCUGGCUCAAGAGAGAGCCUCUCCACCCCAAAAGGAUACCUGAAAGAUACUGGAACAAAGGACAGUAACCAGAGGGGUGUGAGUGAUUGCUGGACCCAGACUAGAAGGAGGCUAGUCUGUAAAAGAAACUUACUGGAACAUCUCUGAGGGAGGGUCUGAAUCUGGAACCCGCACCACAGACUGGUUCCUCCAGAAGUGCAGGACUAACUACAUUAGCUAACAGCAAGAGAAGGUUGUUAUCCCACAGCAGGAGAAUUUGAGCCACUGGCACUGUGUGCUGGGUUUAGGGAGUAAUUAGGAGGAGUCUGGCCUGGCUUUCUCCCUCUCUCUUCCCUGGGAUAUGGAGGAUUCCUGCCCUGUGUGGUGCCCCCAAAGAUGCUGGCAAAAUUUUCCUGAGAAAAGCAAGCCACAGCAGGGAAAUGAUGGAGAAAUGGAGGCAGAAAGAGGUAUCCAGUGUCACAAAGCAAAUCAAUGGAAGAGCUGUGAAUAAGACCCAAGGCUCCUGACUCCCAGAACAGUGUCCUAUCCACUUGAUCACACUGAGAGCUAGCAGAGCCAAGUCCAUAUAUUGCUAGUAAAGAGUAAUUGUUUGCUAACGUGUUUUCAUAACCUCACUGUUUGAAUUGUGACUGCCAGUGAUAUCUUUUCUGGUUUUUAGUCUUUGUGAUUGGAGGAUGGAGCUGUGGGGUGAUCUCCUUUUCCUUCCUCCC